GCACUGCUGACGAGUCCCAAACGGGACGAAACACUUGUCUAGUGC
rfam:Echinostoma caproni strain Egypt genome assembly, scaffold: ECPE_scaffold0019616